rnacentral:rRNA from 1 species
AUUGAACGCUGGCGGCAGGCCUAACACAUGCAAGUCGAGCGGUUGAGGGGAGCUUGCUCCCUGAUUCAGCGGCGGACGGGUGAGUAAUGCCUAGGAAUCUGCCUAUUAGUGGGGGACAACGUUUCGAAAGGAACGCUAAUACCGCAUACGUCCUACGGGAGAAAGCAGGGGACCUUCGGGCCUUGCGCUAAUAGAUGAGCCUAGGUCGGAGGUUAGCUAUUUGGUGAGGUAAUGGCUCACCAAGGCGACGAUCCGUAACUGGUCUGAGAGGAUGAUCAGUCACACUGGAACUGAGACACGGUCCAGACUCCUACGGGUGUCAGCAGUGGGGAAUAUUGGACAAUGGGCGAAAGCCUGAUCCAGCCAUGCCUCGUGUGUGAAGAAGGUCUUCGGAUUGUAAAGCACUUUAAGUUGGGAGGAAGGGUUGUAGAUUAAUACUCUGCAAUUUUGACGUUACCGACAGAAUAAGCACCGGCUAACUCUGUGCCAGCAGCCGCUGUAACAC